rnacentral:rRNA from 1 species
GAUGAACGCUGGCGGCGUGCCUAAUACAUGCAAGUCGAGCGAACGGACGAGAAGCUUGCUUCUCUGAUGUUAGCGGCGGACGGGUGAGUAACACGUGGAUAACCUACCUAUAAGACUGGGAUAACUUCGGGAAACCGGAGCUAAUACCGGAUAAUAUUUUGAACCGCAUGGUUCAAAAGUGAAAGACGGUCUUUCUGUCACUUAUAGAUGGAUCCGCGCUGCAUUAGCUAGUUGGUAAGGUAACGGCUUACCAAGGCAACGAUGCAUAGCCGACCUGAGAGGGUGAUCGGCCACACUGGAACUGAGACACGGUCAAGACUCCUACGGGAGGCAGCAGUAGGGAAUCUUCCGCAAUGGGCGAAAGCCUGACGGAGCAACGCCGCGUGAGUGAUGAAGGUCUUCGGAUCGUAAAACUCUGUUAUGAGGGAAGAACAUAUGUGUAAGUAACUGUGCACAUCUUGACGGUACCUAAUCAGAAAGCCACGGCUAACUACGUG